AGGAUGAACGCUGGCGGCGUGCCUAACACAUGCAAGUCGAACGUCCUGUCUCGCAAGAGGCAGGGAGUGGCGGACGGGUGAGUACCACGUGGGUCAUCUACCGUGAGGUGAGGAAUACCGGCGAGAAAUCGCCGACAAGACCGCAUAGGCUCGAUGCAAGUCGAGCAAAGCUCUUUCGAGAGAGGGAGCGCCACACGAGGAGCCUGCGCCCGAUUAGCUAGCUGGUGGAGUAACGGUUCACCAGGGCGACGAUCGGUAGCUGGUCUGAGAGGACGAUCAGCCACACUGGGAUUGAGAACGGCCCAGACUCCUACGGGGGGCAGCAGUGAGGAAUUUUCGUCAAUGGGGGCAACCCUGAACGAGCAACGCCGCGUGCAGGAAGAGGUUUCGGAUCGUAAACUGCUUUUCUCGGGAAGAGAACGGACGGUACCCGAGGAAUCAGCCCGGCUAACUACGUGCCAGCAGCCGCGGU
rnacentral:rRNA from 1 species